AUUGAACGCUGGCGGCAUGCUUUACACAUGCAAGUCGAACGGUAACAGGCCUUCGGGUGCUGACGAGUGGCGAACGGGUGAGUAAUGCAUCGGAACGUACCCAGAGGUGGGGGAUAACGCAGCGAAAGCUGUGCUAAUACCGCAUGUGAUCUGAGGAUGAAAGCGGGGGACCGAGCAGCAAUGUUUGGCCUCGCGCCUUUGGAGCGGCCGAUGUCGGAUUAGCUAGUUGGGGGGGUAAAGGCCUACCAAGGCGACGAUCCGUAGCUGGUCUGAGAGGACGACAGGCCACACUGGGACUGGGACACGGCCCAGACUCCUACGGGAGGCAGCAGUGGGGAAUUUUGGACAAGGGGCGCAAGCCUGAUCCAGCAAUGCCGCGUGCGGGAAGAAGGCCUUCGGGUUGUAAACCGCUUUUGGCAGGAACGAAACGGUGUCCGCUAAUACCGGGCGCUAAUGACGGUACCUGCAGAAUAAGCACCGGCUAACUACGU
rnacentral:rRNA from 1 species